rnacentral:rRNA from 1 species
UACGAAGGGGGCUAGCGUUGUUCGGAAUUACUGGGCGUAAAGCGCGCGCAGGCGGUCCUUCAAGUCAGAGGUGAAAGCCCAGGGCUCAACCCUGGAACUGCCUUUGAAACUGGAGGACUUGAGUACGGGAGAGGUGAGUGGAAUUCCGGAGUGUAGAGGUGAAAUUCGUAGAUAUUCGGAAGAACACCAGUGGCGAAGGCGGCUCACUGGCCCGUUACUGACGCUCAGGCGCGACAGCGUGGGGAGCAAACAGG